UACGUAGGGUGCAAGCGUUGUCCGGAAUUAUUGGGCGUAAAGAGCUCGUAGGCGGUUUGUCGCGUCGAAUGUGAAAACCCGGGGCUCAACCCCGGGCCUGCAUUCGAUACGGGCAGACUAGAGUUCGGUAGGGGAGACUGGAAUUCCUGGUGUAGCGGUGAAAUGCGCAGAUAUCAAGGAGGAACACCGGUGGCGAAGGCGGGUCUCUGGGCCGAUACUGACGCUGAGGAGCGAAAGCGUGGGGAGCGAACAGG
rnacentral:rRNA from 1 species